rnacentral:miRNA from 1 species
CUCCUGGUUGACAAGGCUGUACAACCUCGCUGGCCAGGAGGAUUCCCUCCUGGUCGACGAGGUGGUACAGCCUUGCCGGCCAGGAUUCAUGAGGUUGUACAACCUCGCCGGCCAGGAUUCCCUCCUGGUCAACGAGGUUGUACAACCUUGCCAGCCAGGAG